UUAAACCGCCUCUACGAUCGCUAAAAACCGCCUCUACAAGCGCCUUUUCCUGUAGUGCACUAUCAUCCCAACCGUAGAAUUUUUUAUCCAAGGGCUAAAAAAUCGGAAGCACCAACUAAUUUAUGCUUCCGAUAGCAUAGUAGCUCUAUACUAUAUAUAUAUAUAGAGAGAGAGAGAGAGAGAGUUGAGUUAGAAUACUUUCAAAAACACCCAGAGGUUGGUGCUUUUGAGAAAUAUAAGGUUGGGAUGAUGGUGGUAGGUGGUGGUAGGUGAUGGUAGAUGGAAUAGUAUUUGAUCCAAUUAUUAUUAGUAAUCAAGAAGUAGAUACAAGGACUAGAAACCUAGAAGUAAAAAUGGAGUGAUACUUUUAAAAAUAUUCUAGCUCAAUUAUAUAUAUAUAUAUAUAUAUAUAUAGAGAGAGAGAGAGAGAGAGAGAGAGAGAGAGAAAGUUUGAGAGAGAGAAA
rnacentral:lncRNA from 1 species